GGGAACUGAGCCUAGCACAAUGCAAGCAGAAGUAGCAGGAAGAAAAGAAAAAUCCUGUUUACAGAUACUGUAGUAUCCUCUAUGCAGGAAAACAGAACGGUGGCACCAAGCGGAUAACAGGAAAUUGGUUAUUUUACAAAACAUCACUGAUACAGUAUUUUAUGGUUACUGACGUAGCGGCGGGAGGAGGAGCAGAGGACCCAGCGUGGUGCGGUGUACGUCAUCGGUCCCCGACGGCCGCAGAGGAGAGAGGUAGCAGCAGGUGGGAGAAGCUGUGGGCGGCGGUCGGGGAACGAUAUGAACGGCCCGCACCGCAAGUGGAUGAUGUCAUCCUGGCCCACUACAACGCCACACCUGAAUGUAAUUCAGCACGUAG